rnacentral:rRNA from 1 species
GAUGAACGCUGGCGGCGUGCCUAAUACAUGCAAGUCGAGCGAACAGAUAAGGAGCUUGCUCCUUUGACGUUAGCGGCGGACGGGUGAGUAACACGUGGGUAACCUACCUAUAAGACUGGGAUAACUUCGGGAAACCGGAGCUAAUACCGGAUAACAUUUGGAGCCGCAUGGUUCUAAAGUGAAAGAUGGUUUUGCUAUCACUUAUAGAUGGACCCGCGCCGUAUUAGCUAGUUGGUAAGGUAACGGCUUACCAAGGCGACGAUACGUAGCCGACCUGAGAGGGUGAUCGGCCACACUGGAACUGAGACACGGUCCAGACUCCUACGGGAGGCAGCAGUAGGGAAUCUUCCGCAAUGGGCGAAAGCCUGACGGAGCAACGCCGCGUGAGUGAUGAAGGGUUUCGGCUCGUAAAACUCUGUUAUUAGGGAAGAACAAACGUGUAAGUAACUGUGCACGUCUUGACGGUACCUAAUCAGAAAGCCACGGCUAACUACGUG